GGUGUCAGCGUUUUCUACCUGGGAGAAAGAAUUACACAAAAUCGUGUUUGAUCCGCGUUACCUCCUGCUAAACUCUGAGGAGCGGAAGCAGGUAACGUGGUGGCGGGCUGGCGGGCCCUGGAGACCCAGCGCGAGCAGGACGCUCCUCCUGACGCUCGUGACACGCACACGCCUGUCACGUUCAUUUUGUCAGAGGGGAAGGGGUAGACCCGGUGGUCUCGCGUGUGAGCUUGUGCGCAGCAGUGGUUACCGGUGCAGAGGACGGUCAUCCCCUCAGUGUCUUAGCAAACCAUCUGGGGGUGACCCCACAGGACAGAUGAAAAUGCACGUGCUGGGAACACUGACCGCACCCCAGAUAGCUGUGUUAAGACUCAAUUAAGCUCUUAUACAAUGACAUUGAAUGAGAGGAGGGUCCCGGAAACAGUAAGAGGGUGUAUGAGGGAAGGGGUGGCAGGUCCAGAGGGCAGGUCCCCAGAAAGGGCAGAGGUGGGCGAGAGGCAGCUCGCCUGGAGGACACGUUAGCCUGGCCGGUCUGCGCUGGCUGGUUGUCAGCGUAGAUCAUGGAGCCGAUACGGCUUCCAAGACGAAGCGGACGGACGGAGGGACGGGCGGUGCUGACUGCCGGCUGAGGGACUGGGCCCUGAUGCACAGCCCAGCCGGGGUCCGGUGUUCCCUGGGGGUCUCUGGGGUCUCUGGUUCCUGCUCCAGUCCUGCUUCUUCUGUCUGCACUCUUCUGAGUGUGAAAUGAUGCACAUGGAAAGCGGGUCAUCGGAUCGGCCGCUGGAAACAGAGAGGGCCGGAGAGCUGUUUCAGAUGUGGCCUCUGUCACCACGGCCUGCGUGCUAUCAGACAGCAGAGCCCGGGGCCCAGAGGACAGAAAGGGCAAGCCCAUUUCCAGCUCUGUCGUGGGUCCUGAAGUUUCCUCAAGCACACGCCGGCACGAUCAGUGAAACACCGAGCGGGCAGAGCCUCGGGCUUGCGGACCCCUGCCCGUCCCGCCGAUGGCAGGGCCCCGCUGGCACACGCCGGGGCUUGGGAUGGUGCUGGGUCGGCCACACUGGAACACGGAACUUAGACCUUUGAGGAACUUAGAAUUAAUGACCUUUUUGUUGCAUUGCAGCUGGCUUGUAUUUUCCAGAAGGAAACAUCUGAAAACGUGUGAAACGUGUUAGCAGUGGCUCCAAAAAAAAAAAAGUUACAAUAGAGUCAGAGGAGGUUAGAUUACGCACGCACACACACGUGUGCACACAGCCGAAGAAAACCGUAGACUUUAAUCAUCAGUAAUAUUUCGCUCUUCUGUGCGAUAUUAAAGAGCAAACGGUCAGGCUACUCGGCUGUGAGCACUCGUAGUCCGCUUGUUUUUGUGAAGAAUGCCUUACUUGGUGAAGACCCGCACGCUGGCCAUCUGCGGACCGUGCUUUCGCUGAUGGCGCGGUCAGCACCAUUGUUGCCAGUUCAGGGGUGUUUUUAGAGACCGUUAGCCCCUUUGAAGGAAGCUGAGGAAGCCCGCCCCCCCCCAGGAUCUUACGCUUACCCCCCCGCCCCCCCGCACGUGAUGGGAGCACGCGACGCUCGGUGUGCUGCUGAACUGCUCUGGGGGCGUCCUGCACGAGACGCGCACGUGAGCACCACGGGGCUGUGCGUCCCCCGCCCCCCCCCCCAUGGCAGCAGGUGCAGCUGUGGCCACCUGGGUUGGGAUGUCCGGGCCCCCACGCCUGGAUGUGCGCUGUGCAGACAGAUCAGACCGGAGUGCGCUGUUCGGGGGACGCCAUCAGACAGAGGAAACUUCAGGGUCACCAGCCUGCAGCGUGGCCCCGGAGGCCCCGGGAGGAAGAGCGGGAACUGGGCCUCGCUGGCGGUCGACACAGAGCAGCAUCAGAGAGCCCUGGGAUCAGAAACCACCCGAGACGCAGGGGAAAUGCCGCAGCUCCUAUGAGCAGUGGUGCUGGAGCCGUGCCGGAGAAGGAGGCAAUAUCUAGGCCACCCGAAACCCCAGUGCUCCUCACAGGACCCCCCCCCCACCCACCCCCACUGUUGAUGGCAAGCAUCCGGCUAGAACCUGUACCGGCCCCCGCUGUCACAUGGUGUUUCUAUGGGGAAACUAGAGCUCAUGGUGGGCAAACCGCCAAUGGCCCGUCCUCCCCAGGGGGCUGCAAAGGAGAAGCGACUGAGCCCAAACAGAGACGAGGGUUCGGGCCACGCUCAUCAGACCUGUUUCCACGGUAACAGAUAGUGUUUCCUUUUCAUUAUGGGAGGACACGCCAUAGCGGGACAAUGGCCAGUGGUCUCUCUUUUAAAAAGUCGUGCCCCACUUUGAGUGGAGCUGGUGUAAUUUGUCAAAGCGGGGAGAAAGACGCCGCUACGUUAAAUUAUAGCGGCGUAAAUAGAGCGACAGGGCGGAGGGAGAGGCGAGAACUCGGGUUCCAUGGGUGGGCGCUCAGCGGUAGGAGAAGCGGGUCUCCCGCGGCCAGGCAGGGUUUCUGUCCAGACUUAAAAUUAGUAGAGCGAAAGCUCUGAUGACGGAGCCCCACACUUUUAUGUGGAUAAUAACCCUUCCUUCACCUGUUUUAUUAGUUUAAGUUCUAAGAGCCGGCGAGGUUGCACACCACUUGCCUUGAAGGUGAGAUAAGCCGAUAUAGUCCUACUUCAAUAUAUAAGCACACCUUCUCCAUUUAAGUCCUGCUCCUGAAUGUUUCCUUUCCGUGCAGAGUCUUCAGGACAGGGGAGCAUUGGGUGUUUAUAAUCCCGUAAGGCGAGUGGCCACUGAAAGGCAGUGUGAAAUCCCCGUCCAAGCCGAGAGAGCCUCCUGCAUUGGCCGAGUCUUCCCCGCCUCCCCCUCGGGGGCAGGAGUGCGGGAGACCCCCAGAGCGCUCGGGUCAAAGUCUAAUGUCGGCAGUGGCCUUGGGUCCAGUUGGGACAGAGUUGCUGUUUAUAGGCCUUCCAGGGUCACACGUGAAAAUUGUAUUGAUCUUUUUAUUCAUGUGUGCGCACACUCUCAAGUCAUCUCCGGUAUUUUCUUUUUCAUGCUCUUGAGGCUCGGAUAGCAUUAGGAAUGAAGCAGCUGUCCCUACCCCCUUCGGGCUCUGGUUUGUAAAUGGCGCCUCAUACCACAACGAUGCGCUGCCCCCAUCCAUUGACGGACUGACGGCUGCAGAGAGGGUCCUCGGUGUCGCGUCACUGUGUUGACUGUCAGCUCGCAAGGGAGAGGGUCCCGGGGCCAUGAUGCACCUGCCCACCAGACGAUACUCGUAUCCUUCAGGCUAGGGGACGGGGUUCUCCUGCUCAAAACCCACUUCUUGUCCAACUGGGUAUCACGCAGUGUCCGAGGGUCAGGUCUUCGCUUUGGGUCUGACCACCCAGAGGCUCCGUGACGCUCCCAGGAGAGGCUUGCCGUGUCUGCGUGAUGCCCCCGCCCUGAUGCCCAGACCACAAGUGGUCUUCUUAGAGACUAGAGGCUGGGGGAUCAGAGAUGCUGGGUUGACUUUCUUUUCACAAGUUAAAAUCACGUUUGGAGGCUCAGAUGCUAAUUGUGUCACUGUAGGAAUUGACUAGAACAAAUGACAAAACCUCAUGUGUUCCUGGGACGACCGGCAGCGAUGUGAAGGUCAGCCAGACAGCGCAUGACCCCAGAAGCUGCUCACGGAAUUCCGAAACAAGAAACAGGACCCACCCCCGCCCCCAAGCGGGGCUGAUUCAGCGUUUGACCCCGAGAUUCUCUUGGGGAUCCAGGCUUAAUCAUGUAGACACUUGGUUCAGGAGAGCCCCUCCCUGGAGGGGCUGUGCCUUCCACCUUAUGGAAAAGAAAGGCUUAACCACAGAUGCUCGCUGUUCUUUUGUGUUGUGUUUGAGGCACAAGAUUUCAUUUCUGAUAUGCAACCUGUAAUACUUUUCUGUGUGUGUAUGUGUGUGUUUCAAGAUAUUCGAACAGUUUGUCAAGACAAGGAUAAAAGAAGAAUAUAAGGAGAAGAAAAACAAAUUGCUGCUCGCCAAAGAAGAAUUCAAGAAACUUCUGGAGGAAUCUAAGGUGUCACCCAG
rnacentral:lncRNA from 1 species